GCAGCGGUGCGUGAGGAGGAGGAGGCCUUCAGGGAGGCGGCGGCGGCGGGGCACACGCUGCUGCCCCUCCAGCGCUGCAUCUUCUCCGACCACCUCACGCCGGUGCUCGCCUACCGCUGCCUCGUCCGGGAGGACGACCGCGAGGCGCCCAGCUUCCUCUUCGAGUCCGUCGAGCAGGCCUCCGAGGGCACCAACGUGGGGAGGUACAGCGUGGUGGGGGCGCAGCCGGCCAUGGAGAUCGUGGCCAAGGCCAACCAGGUGACGGUCAUGGACCACGAGAUGAGGACCAAGGAGGAGCAGUACGCGGCUGACCCGAUGACCGUCCCAAGGGACAUCAUGGAGCAGUGGAAUCCGCAGAUUACGCUUGAUGGCCUGCCUGAUGCCUUUUGUGGAGGAUGGGUUGGAUUCUUCUCAUAUGAUACGGUGCGUUAUGUUGAGACAAAGAAGCUUCCGUUUUCUAAGGCGCCAGAGGAUGAUAGGAACCUUCCUGACAUUCAUUUAGGCCUCUACAAUGACGUAGUCGUUUUUGAUCAUGUUGAAAAGAAAACACAUGUUAUUCAUUGGGUGAGGUUGGACUGCUAUCACUCAAUUGAUGAAGCAUACGAAGAUGGGAAAAACCGGUUGGAAGCUUUGUUAUCAAGAUUGCAUAGCAGUAAUGUCCCAACCCUUUCUGCUGGAUCUAUUAAGCUUAACGUUGGGCAAUUCGGCUCAGCGCUACAAAAAUCAACAAUGUCUAGCGAGGACUAUAAGAAGUCUGUUGUGCAAGCAAAAGAGCACAUUCUAGCAGGUGAUAUUUUUCAAGUAGUACUAAGCCAACGUUUUGAGAGACGUACAUUCGCCGACCCUUUUGAGGUGUAUCGCGCGUUGCGUAUUGUCAACCCUAGUCCUUAUAUGGCCUAUCUACAGGCACGAGGUUGUAUUCUUGUAGCAUCAAGUCCUGAGAUUCUUACUCGGGUCGCAAAGAGGACAGUUGUCAAUCGGCCUCUUGCUGGAACAAUCCGUAGAGGAAAAACAAAAGCUGAAGACAAGGUUUUAGAACAGCUCCUGUUGAGUGACGAAAAACAGCGUGCCGAGCACAUUAUGUUAGUAGAUCUAGGUCGGAAUGAUGUUGGAAAGGUGUCCAAACCAGGAACAGUAAAGGUGGAGAAAUUGAUGAAUAUUGAGCGAUAUUCUCAUGUCAUGCAUAUUAGCUCGACGGUUACUGGGGAGCUGUGUGAUGAUCUUACAUGUUAG
rnacentral:rRNA from 1 species